rfam:Chelonobacter oris strain 1662 contig000009, whole genome shotgun sequence.
CAUAUGGUGUCGGACUGGUUUCCGAUAGCGAUAUGGCUUCAAUCCGAGGU